GCCGUUGUAGCUCAGUUGGUAGAGCAAUUCACUCGUAACGAAUAGGUCGCCAGUUCGAUUCCGGCCAACGGCACCA
rnacentral:tRNA from 2 species